GGCAGGAUAGCUCAGUCGGUAAAUCAUGAGACUCUUAAUCUCAGGCUUGUAGGCUUGAGCCCCACUUUGGGCA